GAUGACCAGACGUUCUUGCCUGGAGCUGUCUGGAGAUUGUUACGCCCCUGGGUUCUGGGGAGACCUUUGGGAUGGACCAGGGGCCUCCCCACUCCCUACAGGCAUCGUGUUCUACCCACCAAGAACCUACCGGGCAACGACGACAGGGAGGACACAAUUCCUGGGACAUGGCGCCAACAGUAGGUACAGGCGCUGUCAGGGCAUCUGCAGGAGGCUCCGGGACACUCCCCUCACGGUAUCUGAGCAAUUAAUUAUUUCUUAUCUCGCUGGGUAAGGGGCCCACGUGGAAAUCACUCCCAUCCUUCUGUUCAAAUGUUAUGUUGCUAUUUAUUCUCAACAGGAAAGGAGCACAAAAUAGAACUGCUUUUAGAAUGGAUGCCAGCUGGAGGGUUUUUCCCUAUCAUUUCCGAGUUGUGAGAACAGGGAAGGUGGGGUGGUGUGACCCUUUCUCUGGGGCUGUUGAGGUGGGACAGGCACCCUCAGGAGUGUGCUCUGCUGAGGCACAACCUGGGGAGUAGCUUCCUGCACCCACCUGGGGGAUCUGAGAGCCUAAAAGAGCCAGAGCCCCAGAACCGGCCUGCCUUUGGCAUGGACCCUGGACAGUUCUUUCUUUGCAGGGAACGAGGCCUCCCUCUCCCAUCUCCAGACCAGGAGGGGAACCCUGGAAAGGCAGCAUUGCUAACCCUUGUGGAGAGAGCCCUGACGGAGCAAGAGCCUGUCUCAGAAGACAAACCAACCAACAAACAAAAGCCAACACAGGAGAAGGGGGCAGGAUGCGGGCUUCCUACUUCUCUCUACCCUUAGUCAUAAGAAGCAAUGAAACCCUGAGAAGCUGUCCCAGGUGAAAGGAGACCAAAGGAAGUGACAACUAAAUACAAUGUGGCAACCGGGAUUGGGCCUAGACAAGAAAAAUGACAAUGUAAUGUCCCUUAAGAAAACACUGGUAAAAUCCAAAUAAAAGCUGUAGUUCAAUUAAUAGUAUCGUUCCAAUGUUAAUUUCUUUGCUUUUACAAGUGUACCAUGGUUAUGUAAGACGUUAACAUUAGUGGAAGCUGGGUGAGGGUACAUGGGAACGAACUCUCUGUACUAUCGUUGGAACUUGUCUGUAAUGAUUCCAAAAUAAAAAGUUAAAAAACCCAAAGACAAACAGGGGCCGGGCCUGCCAAGAAGAACUGGGACUCGGACUUGGCACCUGGGCCUUGGGCUCUGCCUGGGAAAAUCCAAGGAGGCCUGGAGCUGGCUCUCAGCUGGCAGGAGGAGCUGCUGCCAACUCUGCAGAGGCGGGCCAGUUCUGGAAAGAUGAGACAGGUGCUGCUCCGUCCAUCCGGACCCUGCACCCCAGGCUGUAAUCACUGGAGGAGUUCUUCUUGCCCACUGCAUGAAUGAAGGUCGUGGAAUUGCAGUAAAGAAAGAAUUUAACAGACCCGAGGCCCACCUCACCAUGUGGGAGACAGAGUUAGUACUGAAAUCAUCUUCAAAGCUUGCAGGAGGUGUCCUUCCGUCCACUGGGGCAGGGAGAUGGAUGGGGGGAUUGUACUUUGACUCGGAGACCACCCAACCCUCAGAAGCCAGGUCUACAAAAUCACCAUCAGCCCUGCUGCAGCCUGCCUCAGGCUGGAUGCCCAGGAAGAUAUAGGGGAUCUGGGGGCACAGAUGGGAGGUGGAAGUGGAGAGACCCAUACCCUGCUCCUCGUGGCUCCUGGCCAAGCUGGUGAUAUGUGACCUCAUCUCACAACACUAGAGACGAGGAGAUCCCGCCCAUCCAGGCUGCAGGCUGGUGGGAAGCCCACAGAGAGAAGGUCUUUCAAAAGGAGGAGGAGUUUGGACCCGAGUGUCCCAGACUGUGGGGGCACAGAUGAAGCGGGGAAGCUACUGCAGAGGAAGGAAGGGCAUGGCAGGUGGGCUGAGGUGGGCACUCGCUGGGAUAUAUGAGCCAGGAGAAUCCCAUUGUGCUACGCGGCCCGAGCAGCUCCUGGGCUGUCUUGCCACUAAGGCAGCGUCAUUACCUCCAAUUCAUAGAUGAUGGAAGCAAGGCCAGAGAGGAUAGAUGAUCCACCCCGGGGCUCAGAGCCAGCAGCCAGAAGAAAUCAGCAUCUCAGCCGAGAAAGGAGAGAGCUCCCUGGAGAAGACACUAAAGGCGGCUGCGACGCUGGCUGGGCCUGACUGUGGGAAGCCUCCGAAGUCAGACCAGGGGGUUCUCGUAGUGGUGUCGACUACACGCCCCACCCCUCUCCUGUCACUGAAAUGGCCGGCUCCUCCAGGGACUCUCCCUUUUGCUUCUAGAUUUGUCUUUGCUUCUGGAGGGACUUGAGGGAGCAGCUGGUACAGAGGCAUGAGCACAGCCCAGGGCUUUCACUCUGGGCUCCAGCACUCCUUAGCUGAGUGGCCCUGACAAGAUCACUUCAGCUCUCUGAUCUUCAGUUUCUUCACUGUAGCAAGAUCUAAUAAUACACUGCAGUUGCUGCAAGGAUUAGAGGUACUUACUGUAUGCAAAGUACUGGACAUGUGAGCAUGCACAGUGGUGAGGAGCUAUUAAUGUUAUGUCAGCUGCCGGCCGCAGCCGCCUCCUCCCCAGCAGUCCUGGCUCCAAGCCCCCCAGUCGCCUCUGAGGGGAUUGCUCCAAACUUUGCUAAUGCUGCAGAAUAAAGGUGAAUUUCCCAGGGAUUUGUGGCAGGCCUCUAUGGUCUGGAAGAUGCCCUAGACAUAAGGAAAUCAAGGGGCUUCCCUAGACAUAAGGAAAUCAAGGGGCUUCCCUGGUCCAGCAUCUUAUACAUUUUACCCAGCCUCUGAGAGAAGCUGGUGGAGACAGCUGGUCCCGCAGCAUUCCCUCUCACAGGAGCUAUUAGCUGUGUCAUGCAUUCAUUUGUAAUGAAAUGGAAGCAUUUUGAUUUAUCAGGGAAGCCGGAUUUUCUCCCAAAUCCUUGCUGCUUUCAUCCUUGGACAUGAAACAGUCCAUUCUAAUCUCAUAUGAAGGGGCAACAGUUACAAGGAACCCAUGAAAUCUGAUCAUCGACUGGGCUCCCAGCGGCAGCUUUGAUCGCUGGGAGGGAGCAAGUCAUCCUCAGCUUGGUGCUAAUAGCUCCAUGCAUUAUUGAAGAGCCAGUUUUCAGUGGCAGACACAAACAGAGAGACAUCCGGAGUGUAGGCUGGAGUGUCAGCUGCUUCCCUCACUCCUCAGUGAUGGAGCCUUGUAAUCCGGCAGGGCCACCAAAAACAGGCCCCUGACAGAGCUGUCUGUGCAGCUCAACACACCCUCAUUGGAAGUCAGCUGACGUGGAACAAGCAAAUAAAGUGAAGCCACCGCUUUCCAGUUCCCUCAGUUGGUGUUCCUCUGAUCCAAACGUCUGAGGCAUGAACAGCUGCCCAGGGAGCAUCCUCAGGAAAUGCACACUCAGUGACAAGGUUGCACGUGGGGCCAGAGCUGACUGCAGCCAGGGCUGUGGCCUGACGGUGUUCCCUUCAUCCUCUGAGUAGGACUCUGAUACUCAGUCUUUGGGGCCAUGAGAGGCAAGGCAAAAGAUGGGACUUAGUUAUUGCUGAGACUUUGCUGGAAAUGGUAAAAGGGGUGGGGAGGCUCACUGUGCCCAUCCUCACUGUUUGAAUUGAAUAAUCUAAUCAAACCAUUUUCAUUUAUCAAAAUUGUUAUUUGAAUGUUUACAGUGUGGUGGGCCCUGAGUGAGGCACUGAAGAUACAGCAGUGAACAAGGACAGAUGGGAUUUGCAGCCUUUGAGAUGGCCAUGGAUGAUCCCUUUCUCAUUGUAUUCAUGCACUUACAUAGCCCCUUUCCACAUCGAAUUAGGUUGACCUUUGUAAUCAAGAGAAUAUUCUGGAAUGAUGAAGUAGUAUGUCUGAAGUGAGGUCAUUAGAGACAUUGUGAGUUCUGGU